AAGAAACACCAGACCUGUAGCCCUGCAUCAACGAAAAGAGUAAAGCAUCAAAGGAACAUUGAGGCAUGUUAUAGCAAACAUUAUGGUAAAUUCAUAUUACUAAUUUAAAGUCUGAUAAUGAAUCAGAAGUACUUCUCAAGUCCUUAAACCAAAUACUAAUUGGCACAGUAAGGAUGUGAUACACCAAACAAAGCAAAAAGAAAACACAACAACAAUUGAUUAGCUUACCAUUCGGAAAAUCAGAGCUUUGAUUUCAAGCACAUUGCCACACAAGCUUCAUACACAAAAAUAACAUACAAUGCAUACAUAUUCACACACA
rnacentral:misc_RNA from 1 species